AGGGUUCGAUUCUGGCUCAGGAUGAACGCUAGCUACAGGCUUAACACAUGCAAGUCGAGGGGCAUCACUGAGGUAGCAAUACCUCUGGUGGCGACCGGCGCACGGGUGAGUAACGCGUAUCCAACCUUCCCCCAGUAGGGCAUAGCCCGGCGAAAGUCGGAUUAAUACCCUAUGUUUUCCCAUGAUAGCAUUUGAAAGGGAAGAAAGAUUCAUCGCUGGGGGAUGGGGAUGCGUCCGAUUAGGCAGCAGGCGGGGUAACGGCCCACCUGGCCCCGCGAUCGGUAGGGGUUCUGAGAGGAAGGUCCCCCACAUUGGAACUGAGACACGGUCCAAACUCCUACGGGAGGCAGCAGUGAGGAAUAUUGGUCAAUGGGCGCAGGCCUGAACCAGCCCAAGUAGCGUGAGGGACGACGGCCCUAUGGGUUGUAAACCUCUUUUGCAGGGGAAUAAAGUGCGGGACGCGUCCCGUUUUGUAUGUACCCUGAGAAUAAGGACCGGCUAAUUCCGUGCCAGCCGCUGC
rnacentral:rRNA from 1 species